ACCUACGGGGGGCAGCAGUAGGGAAUUUUCGUCAAUGGGCGCAAGCCUGAACGAGCAAUGCCGCGUGAACGAGGAAGGUCUUCUGAUCGUAAAGUUCUGUUGAAGGGGAAAAAGAGCGGAGAGAGGAAAUGGUCUCCGAUUGAUAUUACCCUUCGAGGAAGUCACGGCUAACUACGUGCCAGCAGCCGCGGUAAUACGUAGGUGGCGAGCGUUAUCCGGAAUGAUUGGGCGUAAAGGGUGCGUAGGCGGCCUGCUAAGUCUGGAGUGAAAGGUACCGGCUCAACCGGUACAGGCUCUGGAAACUG
rnacentral:rRNA from 1 species